GUACACGCUGUGACUAGCAUAUCAAUAAGCGGAGGAAAAGACUGCGGAACUGAACGACCACUACCUACGCUUAGGAUGUUGACGAGACUGUCGAUCUCAUCUAUACAUGACUCUGUGCAUAUCAAUAAGCGGAGGAAAAGGAGUAUACCUACGCUUAGGAUGUUGACGAGACUGUCGAUCUCAUCUAUACAUGACUCUGUGCAUAUCAAUAAGCGGAGGAAAAGAAACUAACAAGGAUUCCCCUAGUAACGGCGAGUGAAGCGGGGAGAGCUCAAAUUUGGAAUCUUAAAGGGUUUCCCUUUACGAAUUGUAGUUUAAAGAAGUGUUUUCUGUUGAGGUUUUGGUAAAAGUUCUUUGGAAUAGGACAUCAUAGAGGGUGAGAAUCCCGUAUUUGACCUUUACUUUCAACUUUGUGAUACACUUUCAAAGAGUCGGAUUGUUUGGGAAUGCAGUCCAAAAUGGGUGGUAAAUUUCAUCUAAAGCUGAAUAUUGGCGAGAGACCGAUAGCGAACAGGUACCGUGAGGGAAAGAUGAAAAGAACUUUGAAAAGAGAGUUAAACAGUACGUGAAAUUGUCAAAAGGGAAGCGUUUGACACCAGUGUUGUUUUUCUGAAAAUCAAUUAAAGAACUGUUUAUGCUAAGCUGUUUAGACUUUAUCAGCUAUCUGUUUAGUUUUGAGCUUUUCUUUAAUGCACUUUUCAGUUAACAAGUCAACAUCAAUUUCUUUUGCUGUAAAAAAGCUUGAGGAAGGUGGCUUGAGAUUCGUCUUAAGUGUUUAUAGCCUCUUGCCUAUGCAGUCGGAGAGAUUGAGGUCUGCAGCGUAGAUCCUUCGGGGCUAAAUGCAUUUGUGCUAAGUUAUAGCAUUUCAUAGACAACUUGUUGACUAUGAUUUGUCUUGUAGCUUACUCGCUUAUGUUAUUUUACCUACGCUUAGGAUGUUGACGAGACUGUCGAUCUC
rnacentral:rRNA from 1 species